rnacentral:rRNA from 1 species
UGAGGAAUAUUGGGCAAUGCCCGCAAGGGUGACCCAGCAACGCCGCGUGGAGGAUGAAUGUCGUAAGAUUGUAAACUCCUGUUAGAGGGGAAGAAUAGUACCGGUUGGACCGGUAUAUGACUGUACCCUCAGAGAAAGCCCCGGCUAACUACGUGCCAGCAGCCGCGGUAAUACGUAGGGGGCAAGCGUUGUCCGGAUUUACUGGGUGUAAAGGGCGCGCAGGCGGGAUAAAAAGUCAGUGGUGAAAUCCUACAGCUUAACUGUAGAACGGCCUUUGAUACUGUUAUUCUUGAGUUCGGGAGAGAGAGACGGAAUUCCAGGUGGAGUGGUGAAAUACGUAGAUAUCUGGAAGAACACCAGUUGCGAAGGCGGUCUCUUGGUCCGACACUGACGCUGAGGCGCGAAAGCGUGGGGAGCAAACA